rnacentral:snRNA from 1 species
AUCUUUGCGCUUGGGGCAAUGACGCAGCUAGUGAGGUACUAACCGAGGCGCGUCUAUUGCUGGUUGAAAACUAUUUCCAAACCCCCUCUUAGGCCUGGGUUCAAGCCCAGGCCUUCGAGAAUUUCUGGAAGGGCUCCCUUUGGGGUAAAGUCCUACAAUUAUAAAGCC